CGGGCCUCCCCGCGACCCCCGCCUCCUCUAGAGUCGCCGGGGCUCCACGGGGCGCGGGUUGGACUCCGGGCUUCCACCCCGUGGGGGCCGGGGGCCCAUCAAGUCCCGGAAGCAGAAUAGGGCCAGCAGUGCCCUGCAGGUGAGCGUGAACUAUCACAACCUGUGCUCACGAUGCCAGCAUUCUUCCUGUAUUUGUGACAACUUUACAAAGCUAGGCAGAAUGUCUCUGUCCUAUGGAGUUUAUAUUCUAGGGAGGGAGGCAAGCAAAAUCAAGAAGACAGAUCAAUUUAAAACAAACAAAAAGCCCCAAAACACUAUGAACAGACUGUGAGGAAUUCCAUGAAAAAUGAAGAUUAUUGAGCUGCAGUGUCUGGGGGAUUCUGACUUGGGAGGUGGGAACAUUGACAAAGGAGUGGGCACCGGCAAAUGGUGCAGCAAGAACAGCCAGCUGGGCCAGUGGGGAUCAGACCUGGAUAAGGAAUCGAGACGUAUCCAAAGAGGAAUGGGGAGCCAUUGUAGGCAUCUAUAAUAAUAAAAGCGUAAUAUGCAAAUCGACCAAACAGCCAAACAGCGGAAUGACCAUCAGGGCUACUUUCCAGACGACCUUCCGGACGAAGCCAUGGCUGUGAAGGCCUACUCUUGCACGAAUUUCGUGCAUCGGGCCUCUAGUUUAAACAAUAAAAUCCUUGCCGAUUUCUCUCACACUCUAUGCCCAAUCUCAGUAGCACAUCCUGUUGGCUCUACUUUCAAAACAGAUGCAGACUCCCUGCUCUUCUCCCACCUCCACUAUCACCACCCCUAUGGGUCUCCUGCUUCCCGCCUUGACCCCUUCAGUCUAAUCUCACAGCAGCCAGAGUGAGCAGGUUAGAACAAGUCAGAUCACAACCCUCCUCUGCUCAAGAACUUUCUAAAGCUCCUGUAUCAGUCAGAAUAGAAGUCAAAAGCCUUAUGGCACCCACUGGGCCUGAUCUGGCCAUACCUCUCCCUUUAUCUCUCCAGCCUUCUUAUGCACCCUCCUUGCUCUCCCUCACCCUGUUCCAGACUCUGUGGCCUCCUGGCUGGUCCUCCAACACAUCAGGCGCAUUCCUGCCUCGGGGCCUUUGCACUUGCUGGCCUCUCUUCUGGACUCUCUUAUCCCUAGUUAUCCGCAUGGUUCACUUCUUUACAUCUUCAUUUCCUCAGCCAGGUCUUCCCUAAGCCCCUUUGAAAAUUGCAAACCAGGCCCCUCCUACACCCACCCUUCCCAGCACUGCCUGCUCAUUUCUCUGCUUGACUUUUUCCAUUUGGACUGACUGACAUCUGACAAACUCUUUACUUAACUUUCUUCCCUCCAUGGGAAUGGAAGCUCCAGGAGAACAGAUUACUUUCAUUUGUUUUGUUCCCUGUGUAUCCCCUGAGCCUAGACCAAGGCCCAGCACACAGUUAGGUGCUCAAUAAAUGUUUGUUGAAUGAA